rnacentral:rRNA from 1 species
UGCCAGCAGCCGCGGUAAUACGGGGGGUCCUAACGUUGUUCGGAAUCAUUGGGCGUAAAGCGGGUGUAGGCGGAAUGGAUAGUCAGAUGUGAAAGCCCCGGGCUCAACCCGGGAAGUGCAUUUGAUACUUCCAUUCUUGAGUAUCUGAGAGGUUAGUGGAAUUCCUGGUGUAGAGGUGAAAUUCGUAGAUAUCAGGAGGAACAUCGGUGGGGAAGCCGGCUGACUGGCAGAAUACUGACGCUCAGACCCGAAAGCGUGGGGAGCAAACAGGAUUAGAUA